GGGGAUGUAGCUCAGCUGGGAGAGCACCUGCCUUGCACGCAGGGGGUCAGGAGUUCGAUCCUCCUCAUCUCCA
rfam:[Clostridium] paradoxum JW-YL-7 = DSM 7308 strain JW-YL-7 ctg1, whole genome shotgun sequence.